rnacentral:tRNA from 136 species
GCCCAGAUAGCUCAGUCGGUAGAGCAGAGGAUUGAAAAUCCUCGUGUCGGUGGUUCGAUUCCGCCUCUGGGCACCA